GGCUCGGUAGCUUAGUUGGAAAAGCACUUGUCUAUCGAAUAAAGGUCGUGAGUUCAAAUCUCACCUGAGCUG
rnacentral:tRNA from 1 species